rnacentral:rRNA from 1 species
UACGUAGGGGGCAAGCGUUGUCCGGAUUUAUUGGGCGUAAAGAGCUCGUAGGCGGUUUGGUAAGUCUGGUGUGAAAUCUCCACGCUCAACGUGGAGGGGCCACCCGAUACUGCCAUGACUGGAGUCCGGUAGAGGAAUGUGGAAUUCCCGGUGUAGCGGUGAAAUGCGCAGAUAUCGGGAGGAACACCCGUAGCGAAGGCGGCACUCUGGGCCGGUACUGACGCUGAGGAGCGAAAGCGUGGGGAGCGAACAGG